rnacentral:antisense_RNA from 1 species
AGUAUUUCCCUCCAGAGUGUAGCUCCUGUGAAAUGCUCCAAGAUGAUCUCGGAUGCAAAUUCAGCCAUGCAAGAGUGAUGAAAUGCUUGCAUUAUUUCCAAAGAUGAAUUAAGACAAUGAGGCAGCUCUUCAUUUGUCAAGAUCCAGCACAAAGGUGCUCAAGAAAUAUUGAUAUGAACAAAAAUCAAACCAAUCUGGCUAAGGAUUCUCUACACUGGAAAUUACCUGUGGACAAGUUACUCUGUAGCCAGGGUGCUGGUACCAUCCAAACAGAUAAUUCAGAGGAGACAGGGGACACCAAAAUAAUAAGAAGGACUUGCAAUCAAAACCUGAACAGGUUUUCUCUGACAUUGACUUCAGCAGUUCUUCACCCUAGGAGGUCUACAGAGGGGCUUCAGGAAACCAGAAACCACAUGCACAAAGAAGUAUUUUUCUGAGAAUGGAGCUGAUCAGUUUCUGGGUUUUUUUUUUUCUUCCAGAUUUUCAAAGGAUUCUGUGAGGCCCCCAAAACUUGAGAACCUCUUGGAUUCAUCUGUCCACUCUGGUUUCUACCCCCAGAAUCUAACGUGGCCUCACUCCUAGAUUACCUCCAGCACAAGAGAAAGUGCAUAUUCUGUCUGCUCUACUGGGCCAGGAGAGGAGGGAAAGA